CAGCCGCCGCGGUAAUACCGGCGGCCCGAGUGGCGGUCACUAUUAUUGGGCUUAAAGCGUCCGUAGCCGGGUUGGGAAGUCCUCCGGGAAAUCUGGCCGCUUAACGGUCAGAAUGCCGGAGGAUACUCCCAGCCUAGGGAGCGGGAGAGGCCGAGGGGAUUCCCGGAGUAGGGGUGAAAUCCUAUAAUCCCGGGAGGACCACCUGUGGCGAAGGCGCUCGGCUGGAACGCGUCCGACGGUGAGGGACGAAGGCCAGGGGAGCAAACCGGAUUAGAUACCCGGGUAGUCCUGGCUGUAAACGAUGCGGACUUUGUGUCGGACAAGCUAUGAGCUUGUCCGGUGCCGGAGGGAAACCGUUAAGUCCGCCGCCUGGGGAGUACGGCCGCAAGGCUGAAACUUAAGGGAAUUGGCGGG
rnacentral:rRNA from 1 species